GAAGCCGAUAGCGAACAAGUACUGUGAAGGAAAGGUGAAAAGAACUUUGAAAAGAGGGUUAAAAGAUUUGAAACCGUUGGGAAGGAAGCUAUGGGAGUUGGUCUAUGCCGAGUAUGCCUGACGAAAGUGGAAAGCGGCGGGGCUCUUUACAGGUCACGUGCUGGAAGCGAAGGAAAGGUCUCUACCGGCAAAAGGUAGGAUGGGGUCCGGCUGGGCGAUAAGCUUGCAAGAUUUUAGCUUGCAAGUGGGGCUUGGCUGGGCCUGAGGGGCUUUUGCGAUCCUGCCGAAACGACUUUCAUAGGCCCGUCUUGAAACACGGACCAAGGAGUCUAU
rnacentral:rRNA from 1 species